GACGAACGCUGGCGGCGUGCUUAACACAUGCAAGUCGAACGGAAAGGCCCUGCUUUUGUGGGGUGCUCGAGUGGCGAACGGGUGAGUAACACGUGAGUAACCUGCCCUUGACUUUGGGAUAACUUCAGGAAACUGGGGCUAAUACCGGAUAGGAGCUCCUGCUGCAUGGUGGGGGUUGGAAAGUUUCGGCGGUUGGGGAUGGACUCGCGGCUUAUCAGCUUGUUGGUUGGGUAGUGGCUUACCAAGGCUUUGACGGGUAGCCGGCCUGAGAGGGUGACCGGCCACAUUGGGACUGAGAGACGGCCCAGACUCCUACGGGAGGCAGCAGUGGGGAAUAUUGCACAAUGGGCGGAAGCCGGAGGCAGAAACGCCGCGGGUGGGAUGACGGCCUGCGGGGUGUAAACCGCUUUCGCCUGUGACGAAGCGUGAGUGACGGUAAUGGGUAAAGAAGCACCGGCUAACUACGUG
rnacentral:rRNA from 1 species